GACGGAGGGGGCAAGCGUUGUCCGGAAUCACUGGGCGUAAAGGGCGCGUAGGUGGCAGUGUGCGUCGGUGCUGAAAGCGCCGGGCUUAACCCGGCGAGGCGUGCCGAUACGACACAGCUUGAGGCAGGGAGAGGGUAGCGGAAUUCCGGGUGUAGUGGUGAAAUGCGUAGAGAUCCGGAGGAACGCCAGAGACGAAGGUGGCUACCUGGUCCUGACCUGACACUGAGGCGCGAAAGCGUGGGGAGCGAACCGG
rnacentral:rRNA from 1 species